rnacentral:rRNA from 1 species
CAUGUAGGCGGCAUGACAAGUCUGGUGUGAAAUAUCUCGGCUCAACCGAGGAAACGCACUGGAAACUGUCAAGCUUGAGUAUCGGAGGGGAAGCUAGAAUUCCUGGUGUAGGGGUGAAAUCUGUAGAUAUCAGGAAGAAUACCGGUGGCGAAGGCGAGCUUCUGGCCAGAUACUGACGCUGAGAUGCGAAAGCGUGGGGAGCGAACAGGAUUAGAUACCCUGGUAGUCC